CGGCCGCGGUGAUGAAGCCCAUGUUGGUAGGGACAUCCGAGACGCGCUGAUGAACGCCAACGGCUCUGAGGGCGGCCG